rnacentral:rRNA from 1 species
AUUGAACGCUGGCGGCAGGCCUAACACAUGCAAGUCGAGCGGAUGAAGGGAGCUUGCUCCUGGAUUCAGCGGCGGACGGGUGAGUAAUGCCUAGGAAUCUGCCUGGUAGUGGGGGAUAACGUCCGGAAACGGGCGCUAAUACCGCAUACGUCCUGAGGGAGAAAGUGGGGGAUCUUCGGACCUCACGCUAUCAGAUGAGCCUAGGUCGGAUUAGCUAGUUGGUGGGGUAAAGGCCUACCAAGGCGACGAUCCGUAACUGGUCUGAGAGGAUGAUCAGUCACACUGGGACUGAGACACGGUCCAGACUCCUACGGGAGGCAGCAGUGGGGAAUUUUUGACAAUGGGCGGAAGCCUGAUCCAGCCAUGCCGCGUGUGUGAAGAAGGUCUUCGGAUUGUAAAGCACUUUAAGUUGGGAGGAAGGGCAGUAAGUUAAUACCUUGCUGUUUUGACGUUACCAACAGAAUAAGCACCGGCUAACUUCGUG